rnacentral:rRNA from 1 species
AUUAACGCUAGCGGCAGGCAUAAUACAUGCAAGUUGAACGGCAGCACAGGUAGCAAUACUGGGUGGCGAGUGGCGCACGGGUGCGUAACACGUAUGCAACCUACCCUAUACAGGCGAAUAACCUUUAGAAAUGAGGGCUAAUACGCCGUAGUAUUGCAGAUGGGCAUCUAUUUGUAAUUAAAGAUUUAUCGGUAUAGGAUGGGCAUGCGUCCCAUUAGUUAGUUGGUAAGGUAACGGCUUACCAAGACGAUGAUGGGUAGGGG